rnacentral:rRNA from 1 species
CGUAGGUGGCAAGCGUUGUCCGGAAUUAUUGGGCGUAAAGCGCGCGCAGGCGGUUCUUUAAGUCUGAUGUGAAAGCCCACGGCUCAACCGUGGAGGGUCAUUGGAAACUGGAGAACUUGAGUACAGAAGGGGAAAGCGGAAUUCCACGUGUAGCGGUGAAAUGCGUAGAGAUGUGGAGGAACACCAGUGGCGAAGGCGGCUUUCUGGUCUGUAACUGACGCUGAGGCGCGAAAGCGUGGGGAGCAAACAGGGAUUAGAUACCCUGGUAGUCCACGCCGUAAACGAUGAGUGCUAAGUGUUAGGGGGUUUCCCGCCCCUUAGUGCUGCAGCUAACGCAUUAAGCACUCCGCCUGGGGAGUACGCCGCAAGGCUG